CAACUUUCAACAAUGGAUCUCUUGGCUCUCGCAUCGAUGAAGAACGCAGCGAAAUGCGAUACGUAAUGUGAAUUGCAGAAUUCCGUGAAUCAUUGAAUCUUUGAACGCACCUUGCGCCCCUUGGUAUUCCGAGGGGCAUGCCUGUUUGAGUGUCAU
rnacentral:rRNA from 1 species